UUUUAGUUAUGUUUAUUUAACACAACAACAUAUAAAUUAUUUAUUAAAAGUAACACAUUAACUCCUGCCGUCACCUCAUUGCUAUUCAAUAGAAACAUAAUGAAUGCUCAUUGCCAAAAGGGUAAAGUGCUAUAAAUAUGAGCUUGUUAUAGUUCCCAUGCAUGCAUUAUGAGAAAUAUACAGCAAUAUUAUAUUACAGGUCAGGUCACUGACUGCUUAUCCUAACAAUAAACCAAGAUAUACUUAUAUUGAAUUAUCUGGUGUUUAC